rnacentral:rRNA from 1 species
UACGGGAGGGUGCGAGCGUUGUCCGGAAUCAGCUGGGCGUAAAGGGCGCGUAGGUGGCGCGAGGAGUCUGUGGGUGAAAGCCCGAGGCUCAACUUCGGGUCGGCCGCGGAUGACUCUCGGUGCUGGAGGGUGGUAGAGGCCAAUGGAAUUCCGGGUGUAGCGGUGGAAUGCGUAGAGAUCCGGAAGAACACCGGUGGCGAAGGCGGUUGGCUGGGCCACACCUGA